CGAACCCUAGAAAAGAUGAAAAGGAGCCUAAGCAUCCAAGAGAUCCUCUCUAGAGAGUAAAAUUAGGUCUGCCGCCCCCUUCUAUCAAAAGAAUGCAUCUAAACCUACAAUAGGGCUAUUUAUAAGUGAGGAGCGCAGCAGAAAACAGGCCCAAGCCCACUAGACAACCGCUCGGCGCCACACUUGUUCCGCUGAUGAGGGUUGAAAAACAGUAAUUUUCAUGUCAAAUUAGACCAAAUUACGCCCUUUACUACUUGGAAUGAUCUUAGAAUCAAGCAAAACUCAAUAAAUGAGUCUGUAGAGAGUCAACAGUUGUUUUUAGCGAUAAUAUGCUUGUUUUGCAUUGUUUUGUAGUAUUUUGGAGAAAGGGGAGAAUGAAGUUGAAGAUAAAGGCCGAAGACUCAAGAAAAGAGAAGAAAAUUGAAGAUUUGAUGAGUCGACGCACUAGCGUUGGCGUUGGGCGGUUUUGAGGAAAACCGUCGGACGGUAGACCCUACCGUUGGGCGGUAGUGCGAUUUGUGGGAAACCGUCGGGCGCCACACUUGUUCCGUCGGGCGGUGGUCUGCUGGGCUUGGGCCUGUUUUCUGUUGUGCUUCUCCCCC
rnacentral:lncRNA from 1 species